GGGCCUAUCGGUCCCCUGGGUGGACGGCGCUGAGGUGACAGGUCAGCUGUCACUGCACCGGCGGGCCUGCCCUGUGAGCUCCUGCGACAGGUGGCAUCACCUGAGCGCACUGUUUCCUCUCUGACAGACUCCAUGACAGUUCAGAAGGUGAAAGGGCUGCUGUCCCGUCUCCUCUAGGUCCCUGUGUCUGACCUGCUGCUGGCCUACGAAAGCCCCAAGAUGUGGCAGAGAGAUUGAGCUGGAGAACGACCAGCAGUCCUUACAGUUCUACUCUGUGGAAAGCGGAGACUGUCUGCUACUGCGAUGGUGACACAGCUGAUACAGCUCAGAGAUGGACUGCAGAUCCAUCUGCAAGAAAUGACCUACGGGAGCAGUUCUCUCCAAGGCUGUCUGUCCUCUUCUGUAGGAAAAAGACUGUUUCUAGGCUUGUACAUAAUAGCGACAAUAAAGGCUUUGUGCCUACUAACGAUUUUCUGAUUCUA